AUGUGAGUGGGCACAUGAUGGAGUCAUUCACCAUCACAUGUAACAUAGGGUGAAGUUGAAGAAAGCAAAAUGCAGUCCUUGCAGAGAGGAAGAAUCAUGUGUUUUGAUACUUCCAAGGCUAAAAAGGCAAGACCUGCAGUUCAACCACAUACCCUGGAUAGAUUGAUGUCAGCCCCAAGUUCUGUUGGUGUAUGUCCAUCUGCCUUCCAGAAGCUCCCUGGCUCAUUCUUGGAACCAGAAAACAAGAAAGCCCUGCAGAGAAAUGGCAUUUGUAAUUGUUUCCUCCAAUACUAAUUAGCAGUAACUAGAGAAGAAACAUGGUCUGGGAUCUUGCAAAAAGCCCUGGAUGUAUUUGUAAUUAUUGUUAUAGUUUCACAUUUUCUUCCUUUGCCCCAUUGCAUUUGUGUUCAACCUCGUUAGAGUAAAGUAGCCAUGUAAAAGGUAUCAGUGCUAAUUAAAUGAUCACUCCAAACCUUCUGUAACUGCAGUAUUUGGAGCCUUUGUACCAAAGGAAUGUUUUGAUGCAGAAAGCAGAGCAAUAUACUUUUUAGGCACAGAGCCUGCUUGGAACUCUCAGGUGAGCUGCUGCAUGCACGGUAACCUGACAAACAUAUGUAUUGCCUCCGGUACCUUAAGUGCAGUAGGUGUAAUUGACAUCUUUGUUAGGAUUUUGACAAACCAGGCAUUGAAGGGCUUCUGGGAUGUGCAGGUGACUUAGGUUCACAUGGUUUCAAGGCUAUGUUGCUUGCAUUUACUUAACUAAAGAGAAAGCAUGCAAGGCUAGGAAGAACCUUUUGCAUACACUGGAAUCUGCUUUGAUGCAGGAGUAUGUUCUGAUAUUUAACUGAGUUUAUUCACAGAUAUAUCCUUUACAUUUAAAUGUUAUUUAGCAGCAAAAGAGUGAAAGAAUCUCAGUUAAUGAUUCUUCUGAUUUUCAGCAAGGUUUUACUUUCCUCUUGACAGAUGGGGAACUAUUAAUAUAACUUAUUUCUAAUUCUCAUGAUUGUUGCAAAUACUGCUUUCCUCCUGCACAGCAUAUUUGAUGUGAAGAGCUAGAACAAUGUGUGUCAGCGUGGGAAAUAAGCUUGCAAUUCUGCACUGAGGUCUUCAGAUCAUACUCUCUAGAGCCUGUAUCCUGUAAAAUGCAAAAGCUCC
rnacentral:lncRNA from 1 species